GAGUUUGAUCCUGGCUCAGAACGAACGCUGGCGGCGUGCCUAACACAUGCAAGUCGAACGGAUUUGAGAAGCUUGCUUCUCAAGUUAGUGGCGCACGGGUGAGUAACGCGUAGAUAAUCUGCCUGAUGAUCUGGGAUAACACUUCGAAAGGGGUGCUAAUACCGGAUAAGCCCACGGAGUCUUUGGACUUUGCGGGAAAAGGGGGGGACCUUCGGGCCUUCUGUCAUCAGAUGAGUCUGCGUACCAUUAGCUAGUUGGUGGGGUAAUGGCCCACCAAGGCUACGAUGGUUAGCUGGUCUGAGAGGAUGAUCAGCCACACUGGAACUGAGACACGGUCCAGACUCCUACGGGAGGCAGCAGUGGGGAAUUUUGCGCAAUGGGGGAAACCCUGACGCAGCAACGCCGCGUGAGUGAUGAAGGCUUUCGGGUCGUAAAGCUCUGUCAGAGGGGAAGAAAUGAGUCUGGCUAAUAUCCAGAUUUCUUGACGGUACCCUCAAAGGAAGCACCGGCUAACUCCGUGCCAGCAGCCGCGGUAAUAC
rnacentral:rRNA from 1 species